GGCAUUAAGAAGAUAUAUUUAAUGUCUGGCCUGCCCUAUGAUAUAGAAUUAAAUGGCCGCAGUAUUUUGACUGUGUAAAGGUAGCAUAAUCAAUUGUCUAUUAAUUGUAGACUUGAAUGAAAGGUUGGACUUGGUUUUGCUUUUUUGGCUAUUCUAAACAAAAUUAUUUAUUUAAUAAGAAUAUUAAAGAGGUGUAAAGGGACGAGAAGACCCUAUUGAGCUUUAUAUUAGCAUUUAGUUUUGCUGUAUAAGAAGAAAGUAACAAAAUAAUAUAUUUUACUGGGGCGGUAAAUCUAUUAUAAACGUUGUUAUACAGUGAUCCAUUAAAAGAUAUGAUUUGAGGAUUAAGUUACUGUAGGGAUAACAGCUUAAUAUUGCCUGAUAGGCCUUAUUGAUGGUAAUGUUUGUGACCUCGAUGUUGGUUUAAUAUGUCUAUAUGGAAGUAUAAGGUUUAUAAGAUGGUUUGUUCAACCAUUUAAGUUUUAUA
rnacentral:rRNA from 1 species